rnacentral:rRNA from 1 species
GAUGAACGCUAGCGGCAGGCUUAACACAUGCAAGUCGAGGGGUAACAUGGUAAGUGCUUGCACUUAUUGAUGACGACCGGCGGACGGGUGCGUAACGCGUAUGCAACCUACCCAUUGCAGGAGGAUAACCCGAAGAAAUUCGGACUAAUAUUCCGUAUGUAUAUCAAAGGCAUCUUUGUUAUAUGAAAGAUUUAUCGGCAAUGGAUGGGCAUGCGUGACAUUAGCUAGAUGGUGAGGUAAGGGCUCACCAUGGCUAUGAUGUCUAGGGGAACUGAGAGGUUUAUCCCCCACACUGGUACUGAGACACGGACCAGACUCCUACGGGAGGCAGCAGUGAGGAAUAUUGGUCAAUGGACGCAAGUCUGAACCAGCCAUGCCGCGUGCAGGAUGACGGCUCUACGAGUUGUAAACUGCUUUUGUAUGGGAGUAAUAUCAGAUACGUGUAUUUGAAUGCAAGUACCAUACGAAUAAGGAUCGGCUAACUCCGUGCCAGCCGCCGCAGUAAGAC